rnacentral:rRNA from 1 species
AGAACGAACGCUGGCGGCGUGCUAACACAUGCAAGUCGAACGCGAAAGGGACUUCGGUCCUAAGUAAAGCGGCGCACGGGUGAGUAACGCGUGGAUGAUCUACCCAUGAGUUGGGAAUAACGGCUGGAAACGGUCGCUAAUACCGAAUACGCUCCGAUUUCGAACUUCGGGGGAAAGGUGGCCUCUGCUUGCAAGCUACUGCUCAUGGAUGAGUCCGCGUCCCAUUAGCUAGUUGGUGGGGUAACGGCCCACCAAGGCGACGAUGGGUAGCCGGUCUGAGAGGAUGACCGGCCACACUGGGACUGGAACACGGCCCAGACUCCUACGGGAGGCAGCAGUGGGGAAUAUUGCGCAAUGGGCGAAAGCCUGACGCAGCGACGCCGCGUGAGGGAUGAAGGUCCUCGGAUCGUAAACCUCUGUCAGGAGGGAAGAACCGCCACGGUGCUAAUCAGCCGUGGUCUGACGGUACCUCCAAAGGAAGCACCGGCUAACUCCGUGCCAGCCGCUGC